rnacentral:rRNA from 1 species
GACGAACGCUGGCGGCGUGCCUAAUACAUGCAAGUUGAGCGAUGAAGCUUGGUGCUUGCACCAAUUUGAAGAGCAGCGAACGGGUGAGUAACGCGUGGGGAAUCUGCCUUUGAGCGGGGGACAACAUUUGGAAACGAAUGCUAAUACCGCAUAACAACUUUAAACAUAAGUUUUAAGUUUGAAAGAUGCAAUUGCAUCACUCAAAGAUGAUCCCGCGUUGUAUUAGCUAGUUGGUGAGGUAAAGGCUCACCAAGGCGAUGAUACAUAGCCGACCUGAGAGGGUGAUCGGCCACAGUGGGACUGAGACACGGCCCAAACUCCUACGGGAGGCAGCAGUAGGGAAUCUUCGGCAAUGGACGAAAGUCUGGCCGAGCAACGCCGCGUGAGUGAAGAAGGUUUUCGGAUCGUAAAACUCUGUUGGUAGAGAAGAACGUUGGUGAGAGUGGAAAGCUCAUCAAGUGACGGUAACUACCCAGAAAGGGACGGCUAACUACGUG